CCUACGGGGGGCAGCAAUGAGGAAUAUUGGUCAAUGGACGAGAGUCUGAACCAGCCAAGUAGCGUGAAGGAUGACUGCCCUAUGGGUUGUAAACUUCUUUUAUAUGGGAAUAAAAUGUUCCACGUGUGGGAUUUUGUAUGUACCAUAUGAAUAAGGAUCGGCUAACUCCGUGCCAGCAGCCGCGGUAAUACGGAGGAUCCGAGCGUUAUCCGGAUUUAUUGGGUUUAAAGGGAGCGUAGGUGGAUUGUUAAGUCAGUUGUGAAAGUUUGCGGCUCAACCGUAAAAUUGCAGUUGAAACUGGCAGUCUUGAGUACAGUAGAGGUGGGCGGAAUUCGUGGUGUAGCGGUGAAAUGCUUAGAUAUCACGAAGAACUCCGAUUGCGAAGGCAGUUCACUGGACUGCAACUGACACUGAGGCUCGAAAGUGUGGGUAUCAAACAGGAUUAGAUACCCCUGUAGUC
rnacentral:rRNA from 1 species